CGGUACCUACGGGGGCAGCAGUGGGGGAUAUUGGACAAUGCGGGAAACCCUGAUCCAGCGAUGCCGCGUGAGGGAAGAAGGUUUUCGGAUUGUAAACCUCUGUGGAGGGGGACGAUAAUGACGGUACCCCUUUAGGAAGCCACGGCUAACUACGUGCCAGCAGCCGCGGUAAUACGUAGGUGGCGAGCGUUGUCCGGUAUUACUGGGUGUAAAGGGAGUGUAGGCGGGAAAGCAAGUCAGAAGGUAAAACUAUGGGCUUAACCCAUAUCCUGCUUUUGAAACUGUUUUUCUUGAGUG
rnacentral:rRNA from 1 species